CAGGCCCAGUGUGCGCAGUGUCAGUCUGUGUUUGUGGAGCUGCUCGCUUGCGUUCUGCAUUCUGGCAGCGCCAUACACACGCAACCUGCGGCCAGAGAUCAAUGUGAGAUCAUAGUACUGGUCUAGUGAUGUCUAACCGACGCUUCUACCACUGGCCAGCCUCCAAUCUCUCAGACACAA
ensembl:snoRNA